GACGAACGCUGGCGGCGUGCUUAACACAUGCAAGUCGAGCGGUAAGGCCCUUUCGGGGGUACGACGAGCGGCGAACGGGUGAGUAACACGUGGGUGACCUGCCCUCAGCUCUGGGAUAAGCCUGGGAAACCGGGUCUAAUACUGGAUAUGACUCCAUGACGCAUGUUGUGGGGUGGAAAGCCUUGUGCGGCUGAGGAUGGGCCCGCGGCCUAUCAGCUUGUUGGUGGGGUGANGGCUUACCAAGGCGACGACGGGUAGCCGGCCUGAGAGGGCGACCGGCCACACUGGGACUGAGACACGGCCCAGACUCCUACGGGAGGCAGCAGUGGGGAAUCUUGCGCAAUGGGCGAAAGCCUGACGCAGCGACGCCGCGUGAGGGAUGACGGCCU
rnacentral:rRNA from 1 species